UGAACGCUGGCGGCGUGCCUAAUACAUGCACGUCGAGCGAACAGAUGAGGAGCUUGCUCCUCUGACGUUAGCGGCGGACGGGUGAGUAACACGUGGAUAACCUACCUAUAAGACUGGGAUAACUUCGGGAAACCGGAGCUAAUACCGGAUAAUAUAUUGAACCGCAUGGUUCAAUAGUGAAAGACGGUUUUGCUGUCACUUAUAGAUGGAUCCGCGCCGCAUUAGCUAGUUGGUAAGGUAACGGCUUACCAAGGCGACGAUGCGUAGCCGACCUGAGAGGGUGAUCGGCCACACUGGAACUGAGACACGGUCCAGACUCCUACGGGAGGCAGCAGUAGGGAAUCUUCCGCAAUGGGCGAAAGCCUGACGGAGCAACGCCGCGUGAGUGAUGAAGGUCUUCGGAUCGUAAAACUCUGUUAUUAGGGAAGAACAAAUGUGUAAGUAACUAUGCACGUCUUGACGGUACCUAAUCAGAAAGCCACGGCUAACUACGUG
rnacentral:rRNA from 1 species